GCGCGCUUAGCUCAGCAGGCCAGAGCACCCGGCUCUUAACCGGAGGGUCCGAGGUUCGAUUCCUCGAGCGCGCACCA
rnacentral:tRNA from 1 species